GCAUUUCCCUGCAUCUCAACAGGCAUUUAUGGUUUCCCGAAUGAGCCUGCUGCAGUCAUUGCCCUCAGCACCAUUAAGGAAUGGCUGGCCAAGAAUCACCAUGAGGUGGAUCGGAUCAUCUUCUGUGUCUUCUUAGAAGUCGACUUCAAAAUCUACAAAAAGAAGAUGAGCGAGUUUUUCCCUGUAGAUGAUAAUAAUGAAGAAGAAGAUGUUGAC